rnacentral:rRNA from 1 species
GACGAACGCUGGCGGCGUGCUUAACACAUGCAAGUCGAACGGUAAGGCCCUUCGGGGUACACGAGUGGCGAACGGGUGAGUAACACGUGGGUGAUCUGCCCUGCACUUCGGGAUAAGCCUGGGAAACUGGGUCUAAUACCGGAUAGGACCACUGCCUGCAUGGGUGGUGGUGGAAAGCUUUGGCGGUGUGGGAUGGGCCCGCGGCCUAGCAGCUUGUUGGUGGGGUGAUGGCCUAACAAGGCGACGACGGGUAGCCGGCCUGAGGGGGUGACGAGCCACACUGGGACUGAGGUACGGCGCAGACUCCUGCGGGAGGCAGCGGUGGGGAAUAGUGCACAAUGGGCGCAAGCCUGAUGCAGCGACGCCGCGUGAGGGAUGACGGACUUCGGGUUGUAAACCUCUUUCAGCACCGACGAAGCGCAAGUGACGGUAGGUGCAGAAGAAGGACCGGCCAACUACGUGCCAGCCGCCGCCGUAA